CAACAGAGGAGCAGUCUGCUCUGCCAAUCCUCACGUCAGUGAUGCUAGCAAAACCUCGGCUUGACACAGAGCAGCUGGCGUAAAGGAGAGCUGGCCUCUGCUUCACUUUUGUUUCAGCCAACUGUGAUUUGAGACGGCAGAUUGAUGAACAGCAAAAGAUGCUAGAGAAAUACAAGGAACAAUUAAAUAGAUGUGUGACAAUGAGCAAGAAACUCCUUAUAGAAAAGAUGAUGAUUAUUCCCCACCUUCUAAGAGACAAAGACCAACGAGCCACCACAGCCACCGGUCCCAGAACCCGCCAAUGCUGGGGAACGGAAAAUGAGGGAGUUCAACUCUGGCCCUCACAAUCCAGUGGAGGAGACG
rnacentral:lncRNA from 1 species